rnacentral:lncRNA from 1 species
GGGACCAACACUUUACAUGUGUUUAUAUUUUAGUUCAGUGCAUAUAGUACUCAAAUUCAUGUUGCUAAGUUCAAAAGAAAACAAGAUAAAAAUGGCUGACACCAAUGAGGGUUAGAAACUUUAAAAGACAAUUCUCAGAAUCCUCUUAACCAUAUAGCUCUCAUCAUUGAUUUGAUUUACUGAAGGGCUUUUCUGUAUAGUUGUCCAAUGUUGGUGAGGCAUAUUAACCUGUUUUAAUAAUACUCCUGAAUUACUUUGAUCAAUAAAAGCAUUUAUUGAGUGUACUUUUAACACAGCUGAGAUUUACUUCAAAGUGCAUUCACCCUAUUGCUUCCACCUAUCAAGGUGUUUCAGAUCUACAUUUACAUGAGGAGGGGGUACUGUCACAUUCUUAGCAAUAUACGUUGUAAUUUUCAUAUUCUAUAUUUACAGCAGCAUGUCUUUACUUUCUCAAAUGUACCAUUUAAGCAACGAUGAUGUCAGUUAUACCAAAACAACACAGAGUUCCGUCUCCAAGUUUUAAUGUGGAUAAACACACACUGCAAACAGAAUAACUUGGGACAAAUCACAGAAAUAACAAUAUGUUAAAGGGGAAAUCUGCAGUUGCUGCAUCCAUUUUAGAACUUUAAAAUGAAUGAUAUACAUGAUGUAGAUUCCCAGAUGCUCAUCUAUAUAGAAUGAAUAAAUAGUGAACAGAAGGUAGUGGAAAAGCAGUCAUAGUAGGUGCUCAAGGGGUAAUCAUACAGACUCCCCUUUUUCAAUGAGAAACUCAUUUUAAUUAGACCAGAUAGGUGUGUUGUAACAUUAAUAUAUACUGCAAAGAAUGUGACAGUAGAGUGCCUCCUCUAGAGGGUCUCAAACCCAGGCCACCAGCACCAAUGAUGAAAGCCCUAACCACUACCCCAGUAAGGGAUAUCUCUAGAACAUGUACUUAUUGGGCCAGUAUAGUUAGGCCCUGUCCUGAAUAACCCCUAACCCCUCCAGUAUAGUUAGGCCCUGUCCUGAAUAACCCCUAACCCCUCCUCUCCAGUAUAGUUAGGCCCUGUCCUGAAUAACCCCCUAACCCCUCCUCCCCAGUAUAGUUAGGCCCUGUCCUGAAUAACCCCUAACCCCUCCUCUCCAGUAUAGUUAGGCCCUGUCCUGAAUAACCCCUAACCCCUCCUCUCCAGUAUAGUUAGGCCCUGUCCUGAAUAACCCCUCCUCUCCAGUAUAGUUAGGCCCCGUCCUGAAUAACCCCUAACCCCUCCUCCCUAGGCACUUGAUCUGAAACAGCCUGAUAGGUGGAAUCUCAGCUCUGGUGAAAUUACACUCAAGAAAAUAUCUUAAUGAUCACACUAGUGAUUCAGGAGUAUCAUUCAAUACAGGUUAAAAUGACCCGCCAAAGUCAGACAAUUAUACAGAAAGCCAUUAAAUUGCUGAAAUAAGUAUAUCAAAUAAAUUAUGAGCGAAUAGUCAGAUUAACUGAGACCCAAUAUGGAGGCGUAGCAGGAAGAUCAGAGUACCAUGAACCAAGAGGUUGUGAGUUCAAAUCCCAGGUGAGAAUAAUAAUUACUGUAAAAAUGAACAUGCACUAUGUCAUCACGUUAGUCAAAAUGUGUCAAAUAUGAUAGUUGAAAACAGUAUGUUAAAAGCACUGUGUGUGUGAGUCUCCUUGACAACAGACAAAGAACUAUGAGUGGAUCAGUGGUUCACCAAGCAGGGCCUUGAUUGGCUCAGAAACAGAAGCAGGGCCUUGAUUGGCUCAGAAACAGAAGCAGGGCCUUGAUUGGCUCAGCAACAGAAGCAGGGCCUUGAUUGGCUCAG